UGCUGGAAGGUUGAAGGCAGAGCUUUCACUUUGAGUUCACCAGUGGCAGAGGCAGUACCUACAGAGAGUGUAUGAAGCUACGAAUUUGGAGGAAGCCUUUCUGAUCUACUCAAGCAACACCCCAACACCCGGUGGCAUUGGCAUGGAAAUUAUCAAGACCAUUUCUAGCAAGACCAGAGAGGAGGAGACCAUGCAGCUGGCCCUGAAUGCCAGCGCCUAUGAAGAGGAGACCAUUACAGAUCACUACAUCAUACUCAAUACCCUCGGCAAAGGGACCUUUGCUGAGGUGAAGCUAGCUUGCCAUCUCCUCACAAAUAUGAAAGUCGCAGUUAAAAUCCUUGCGAAUGGUGAGGGGAAAGACAGAAAAAAUAGGAAUGAACUCAACAUCAUGAAAGAGCUGGACCACCCAUACAUAAUAAAGCUCUUCCACAUCAUCGACAGCAGAGACCACACCUAUAUGGUGUUGGAGUUUGCUGCUCAUGGCGAUCUGGCCAAGCACAUUGAGCGGGGUGGCCCUCUUCAGCAGAAACAGGCCCAACACAUCUUCUGCCAGAUGGCGUGUGCAGUGUACUACUGCCACGAUAAUGGCAUUGCCCACAGGGACAUCAAGCUAGAUAACAUCCUGCUUGAUGGCAAAGGAAACAUCAAACUGUGUGACUUUGGCCUGGCCAUCAGAGUCAGCUCUGGGGAGAAGUGCAAGGGAUUCUGUGGCACUGUUGAAUAUUGUGCUCCAGAGCUAUUCGAUGACAAGGAGUAUGAUGCAAGGGCAGUUGACAUCUGGAGCAUGGCAGUGGUUUUAUAUGUAAUGGUGACAGCAAGCUUCCCAUUCAAAGCAAAGACCUAUCCAGACAUGAAGGAGGAGAUGCUGGAUCCCACGUACUACAUUCCUUACACACACUCUCAAAAUGUUUUGCUUGUGCACCUCAUUGUGCACAUGUUCACUGUGAACCCUGAACAGAGGCCCACAAUAUGUGACAUUAGGCAACACCAGUGGAUCAAAGACAGGGAAGAAUUUUGGAAACUCCCAUCAUCCUCAGAGUCAUUCUGUAACAAUCCAAAUCCCAGUAUUUUGCUGGCUAUGUGGGGUAUGGGUUACCAUCCCAAGGCUAUUAGUGAUAGUCUACGUGAGAAAAAAUUCAAUAACAUCAUGGCCACAUACCUAAUUUCAAACCAUGAGUCACCCCAGGACCACACUAAAUCUUCCACUAAGUCUUUGCAGGCCUGUGUCGCUGUGUCAUCAUCAGGUGCUCUGACCUCCCUUGCUCCUAAAAGGAGAGUGAGUGAGCCUGCCCUUCCCACCUUCGACCUGCUGGAUAAACAUCAGGGGCAGGUUGAGAAGUGUUCACGCAAGCAGGGGAGCAGAAGCCUGAGCAUGCCUGCCACCUUGUGCUGCCUGCUGAAGGAGGACAUCCCUCCCCACCCAGUACCCAUGUGUGUUCCUGAGGUUACUCCUCUCAUGAGUAAAAGUGUGGCAGUAGGUAGCAUGGUUUGCAAUGAGUUGUCCACAGGAUGCCCAUUCUCUGAGUGCAUUUCUUCUGCACAGUAUUUGUCCUGUGAGAAACCCCAGGAAGUGAGCUCCCCGAAGAAUAGCUCAGAUGCUCAGAAUACACCCUCUGAAAGGAAGGACAGGGAGGCACCUCAGGGUAUGAUCACCACUGAAAACCAGGGAACUCAGAGAUCUUCCCUUCAGACAACAUCACAGAACAAAUUAAAAGAUGUCCUUCCUGAAAAUGUAAGUGCAGCCUCUGCCAGCAGUCUGUCCAAAGGCUGGAAGAGGGUUAAGAAGAGAAUUAGGAAUAGUGUGAGAUUUCUGUGCUGCUGUCUUCCACUCUCACGAAAAAUCCAUGUUUCUCCGAAUGAAGAGGCACCACUAGAAGGAGAGAGCAUUGCAGGAGCACACACACAGCUAAAUGGUGUGCCCAGGAUGCACGUCAGUGUUUAUUAAUCUAUAUGUUUUCUAAGGUCCUUUGUGACCAUCACAUGAUAGUUAGGAUUUGAAAAUUAGGAACUCUUAUUUCAAAAGCAACUCUACCUCCACCUUUAACCUGAAUUGUUUAAGCUAAAGUAGACAGUAGUGGUUGAAAAGUAGAGGCUGUAGAAGCAGCCAGAAGUAGUGUUGGCUAAAGGAAGAAAGAAUUAUAGAUCAUCAAAGGCUUUGAGGGAAGAAAACUAAAGACCAGGACAGAGUAUGAGAAGAAGAGACACCAGAUAACAGAUGAUCCAGAAAGAUAUUAGUCAAGACUCUGAAGUAUAUAUUUUAAAUUUCUUAAGACUGUGUCUUCCAUAUGUCAUUAUCAUUUUCCAAAUUGAGUCAAUGUUGAGGAUGAGACAUGGGGAUAGCAAUUUUCUUGGAGAGACUGAAAUAGCCAAAUUGGGAGCCAUGCAGGAAGUCCAGAUGAUAGAGUGCCGUGUACUCCAACAGAGAAGUCCAACACAGGAGAUGGAAAGUGACAGCAAGCAGGAAGGAAAUGGAUAUCACUCUGGAUGGAAUGCUGGGAUGUUGCUCCAACUUGCACGCUGUUAUGGAGGAACAGUUUGUGUAUAACAGGUGAACAUCAUCUGACACCUGUGUGGAAGAACAAUCACUGCAACUGGCAAGAUGCUUAGUCUGUACUGGGUUGAAGAACCAUGAGAACGAGAGUGCACACAGCCUUGCAAGGACAACCAGACUAGAGUGGCAGGCCUUCUUGCUUAUGUGUCCAUACCUGCUCUGCAUUCGUGGGUGAUUACUAAGGGAAGUACCAUUUGUGAUAUACUUUACUGAAUGCAGUGCCUGGGAAAGGGAGACUUGGAUGCUGUAGCCAAUCAGUAAAACCCAGGAGAUAUAAUCGAUAAGAAUCAUGGGCUCCAGACACUCAUGACAGACUCUAAAAAGGCAAAUCUCAGUAUGAUCACUUGUGAUGUUUAUUUUGACAUUUGCCUUGGGACAAAUGAGGAAUUUCCCUGAUACUAAAGCAAGUUGCUAUCUUUAGCAUUUGACCUGAGAGAACAGAAGUCAACUGAGUUUCCGACCCCCACACCAAUCACUUCCCUCCUUUACUGUCUCUCUUGUUGGAUGGAGCAAGGGUAGGGUCCAUGAUUACCAGCUUCUUGAAGGAGGAACUUCACACGCUUCAUCCCAAAGGUGUCCACAGGUGUCCUCCUCACAGAGCACAAAGCUGAGUCCUUAGAUGCUCUUCUGGACAUAACAUAUUUUGUUGUCACAAUGCUUAAACUACACCCACUGGCCGCUUGACACAGCCACAAUGAGCAGUCUAGUACAGGUGGGUCACAUGGAAUUCCCCAGGUCAACUCCAGAUGUCUUAUUGGUCACUUUUACUCUUCUCUUAU